GUGAGGAAUAUUGGUCAAUGGGCGGGAGCCUGAACCAGCCAAGUCGCGUGAAGGAAGAAGGAUCUAUGGUUCGUAAACUUCUUUUGCAGGGGAAUAAAGUGCAGGACGUGUCCUGUUUUGUAUGUACCCUGAGAAUAAGGAUCGGCUAACUCCGUGCCAGCAGCCGCGGUAAUACGGAGGAUCCGAGCGUUAUCCGGACUUAUUGGGUUUAAAGGGUGCGUAGGUGGUUUGAUAAGUCAGCGGUGAAAGUUUGCAGCUUAACUGUAAAAAUGUCGUUGAAACUGUCGGACUUGAGUGUAAAUGAGGUAGGCGGAAUGCGUGGUGUAGCGGUGAAAUGCAUAGAUAUCACGCAGAACUCCGAUUGCGAAGGCAGCUUACUAAGCUACAACUGACACUGAAGCACGAAAGCGUGGGGAUCAAACAGGAUUAGAUACCCCAGUAGUCC
rnacentral:rRNA from 1 species